rnacentral:lncRNA from 1 species
CAUGAUAAUUGUAUACCAAGAAGCAUUAAGUUUAUAUAAAAAUGUGUCUUAAUACUAUUCAACAUACAAAUCGUUUUAUAGAAUCGUCUCUGUACAAUAACUGACCCACAUCGAUUUGCGAGCUUAGCAUAUACAUUUCAUGUUCGUACGUAUUUUUUUCGAAGACAACACGAUUCGAUUUGAAAGGUAUAACGGCAAUCAGAUUUUUCUACAACGACUAACAAUUUCCAGCUAUUUCUUCCUCGUAGAUGGAUCUAAAAAAAUAAUCUGUGCCUAUAAAUAGUCUGUUUGUCUGUAUUGAAUUCAAAUAUCUUAAAGCCAUUAAGAGUUUAACAUAAUUUUAACAUUUAACUCGAAACGUUGAACAUAAAAUUGCUCUAUAUUUUAAGGAUUCUCUAAACUACUUUCACUUAGAUCAAAACUAUGUUAGAUCGUAUCUAAAGCACGUUCGACAACCUUCAUAGAAUUCUUUAUAUGUAUAAUGUCUACAUAAAAAUAAUUAAUUUCAGGAAAAAUUUGAAAGAAUAACGGGCAACGAAACAAUGAAUCGGGAAAAUUGGUGAAAGUUCUCGCGUAAGAGGAUAAACUCGAUCAUCAGUGCCAGAAAUAGGUAGAAUGUGUCAUGUCACGAGUUUGUGGAUCGGUUCACUUUCUUACGAACGUAUGCACGCUUCGUGACGGAUCUUUAUUCAAUUCCUCGUUGAUGUAAUAGGGCAUUACCGACACGAGAAACCGGCCGAACAGGAAAAAGAGUGGAAAUUUGAUCGCAUUGUUUUUAUUUCCUAGAAUGAUGUGAUAAUGGCAAAUUAAAGAGUGCAGAAAUCGUAUCUUUCCUCGCUAUGUGUCAAACUGAACGACGAUGAUUUCCAAAGAAAAUCCUGGUAAGAGUCUCGCUUCUCAUAGCUCGUUUUCUAUAUCAAAAAUCUAUGUCAAUCUUGUUCGUUCGUUUUUAUUUAACUUUCUUGGUCAAGGACAUUUUUAAUUACUUAUAACAUAAUCAGCAUUAUAUAAGUCGAACAGAAAUUACUUUAGUUCAUUGAUCACUUUAAUGUUAUCUGUUUAUACAACGUGUCUCGUUAUUCAUAAUAAUCAGGCAAAAGAUUCUUCAUGAAAAAAUAAAAUAUAAAGAAUUUUCUUCAUUCGAAGCUUCAUUUUCGAAUAAAUAAAAUUUGAAAAAUUUUUAAAUACAAGUAAAAUCUCAAAAUUCAUUUCUUUUCCAACUUCUAACUUUUUUUCGUCAUUCCAAGCUAGUGAAUUUAUCGUUCCAAAUAUUCGAAGCUAACAGGAAGUACGAAUAAUAUCACGUAUCGAAUAGUCGAUCUCGAUCGCGUACGUGACAUUGAACAAGGGUAAGACUUAAAAUUUUUACGCACACCCAAUAUAUGCAAUGUGUCCCAGUUCCUUGGUUCACUUCGAGCACGUGCAAACCAGUUUCGAUGCAGUGUGUCUUGUACAAAUACUUUCUGCCGGCGUUUCUCAGUUAAUGACACGCAUAGACUUCCGAUUUGAUGUUAUCGUCCGUUCAACAGUACAACGCACGAUCAGUAUCGAUAAACGUUGACAAUAUUAAACAAUUAUAUUUAAUUUUUAAUUGUUUAAAUUUGCAACAAUUUUCAAAUAUCAUCGACAAUAAGCUGUUUGUGAUAAAAACAGGUUUAACCUGUCGUCUAAGAAAACAAAUAAAAAUGAAACUAAGACAUAAUCGAUGUAGUUUUCGCUAAUUUCAAUUUUAUUUUUUUUUUCAAUCUUGCAGAUGAUUCGAGUAGAAACGAUACGGUUCAUUCAGCCUACUUCGACAUUCGAGUUUCUCCUUUUUCUCGCCAUUCGUCUAAUCACUUCUUAUUCGCUAUCGCUCUUCGAAAUCUCGGAUAUUAAUAAAAUUUCCAUAAAACAGUUAGCCAAAACGAGUAUAUUCAAUAUAUAUAUAUAUAUGUUUUAAAUAUUUAAUCGAAAGGAUUUCGAAGUGUGUUACUAUUAUGGAAAUUCUUCUAGGUCGACGAGUGGAAUCGUGUGUACGUAGUGUUGGGGAAUUCUACGUACUGGUACUAAUAUCUAGGCUGUCUGGAGCGUGGCCGUUCUUCCUCCAUGGGUAUCGAGGGCCACGACGAAAAAGAAGGAGGAAAAAGACGAGGCCGUUUCUAUGAACGAGCACGAUCGUUUUCGGUGGUCGUCGAGCGACUAAGCCGGUCGUCGCUCUACCUGCCCAGUGGCCAGAUCGAUAGUAGGUCAAUGGAAUUCAUCCGACCACGUUCGCCAUCGUGUCUCCAUUGACCCAUCCGAUUCUUCCUCAUGAUCAUGAAAUUUAGACGAGAUCACUGUGAAACGAAGGAUUGAUCGAAGAGAAUUGAAAUUACAUUGAAAUUGAUAUUUCUCUCAUUGAAGAAAUACCGAAAACAGUCAUUGAACUGUUGUACGACUGUUGCUUAUCGUACGUUCCUCAUGAAUGUAGGUUAUUGGCAUGGAAGCGGCUGUUUCCAAUAAUGGGAACACCUUCACCAACGAUCUAUUAGUGAAAACACCAAGGUGGAGCUGGUUAAGAAUUCGUAACAAUGUUUAUGAGAUGGCUACUUGAUCCAUGACGUUUAUGAAUAACUUCAGAAUAAAACAGUAGAAUAAUUAAUAGAGAAUUGGAGUAGAAAUAGCUUUUGUCCAGGAGAAUCAAGACAAACAGUCAACACCGGCACUCAGGUAAAAAUUUAGAAUAGAAAUUAUAAUAUCAUUCUAGAAAGGCAAAGGAUGUAAAUGAAAUUUCAGUUACUCAUUGGAAAUCGCUCGGCUGUUGGCUUAUACUUCGUUCCAGAUGACUAUGCCAUCAUUUCCUAGUCAAAUCUCAAACUUUGCUACGUCUUUCACAACAGUUAACCUCGAUACGAAA